CACGUACGGGGCGAGCGUUGUUCGGAAUUAUUGGGCGUAAAGGGCGUGCAGGCGGUUUUGCAAGUCUGAUGUGAAAACUCUGGGCUUAACUCAGAAUCCGCGUUGGAAACUGCAAGACUAGAAUCUUGGAGGGGGAGUUGGAAUUCCUAGUGUAGGGGUGAAAUCUGUUGAUAUUAGGAAGAACACCGGUGGCGAAGGCGAACUCCUGGCCGAAGAUUGACGCUGAGGCGCGAAAGCGUAGGUAGCAAACAGG
rnacentral:rRNA from 1 species